GUGAAUUUUAUGACUACAAAAGUAUCAUAUGUGUGAUUCUUCUAGUUUGCACUAGGAUGCCAAAGAAAAUGCUCUCCGCACUUCCUGUCUGUCUGUGUGGCAGUCCAGGUUGAUUUGGAGAGUACAUGU